CAUGGAGGUCUGGAUUUCGAGUCACACUCAAAAUUAAAGUGGAAAAACACACUACAGGCUGAUCCAACUUUGACGUAAUGUCCUUAAAAACAAGUCAAAAUGAGGCUCAGUUGUGUGUGUGGCCUCCACAUGCCUGUAUGACCUCCCUACAACGCCUGUGCAUGCUCCUGAUGCGGUGGCGGAUGGUCUCCUGAAAGAUCUCCUCCCAGACCUGGACUAAAGCAUCUGCCAACUCCUGGACAGUCUGUGGUGCAACGUGAUGUUGGUGUAUGGAGCGAGACAUGAUGUCCCAGAUGUGCUCAAUUGGAUUCAGGUCUGGGGAACGGGUGGGCCAGUCCAUAACAUCAAUGCCUUCGUCUUGCAGGAAGUGCUGACACACUCCAGCCACAUGAGGUCUAGCAUUGUCUUGCAUUAAGAGGAACCCAGGGCCAACUGCACCAGCAUAUGAUCAAGGGGUCUGAGGAUCUCAUCUCGGUACCUAAUGGCAGUCAGGCUACCUCUGGCAAGCACAUAGAGAGCUGUAUGGCCCCCAAAAGAAAUGCCACCCCACACCAUUACUGACCCACUGCCAAACCAGUCAUGCUGGAGGAUGUUGCAGGCAGCAGAACGUUCUCCAUGGCGUCUCCAGACUCUGUCACGUCUGUCACAUGUGCUCAGUGUGAACCUGCUUUCAUCUGUGAAGAGCUCAGGGCACCAGUGGCGAAUUUGCCAAUCUUGGUGUUCUCUUGCAAAUGCCAAACGUCCUGCAUGGUGUUGGGCUGUAAGCACAACCCCCACCUGUGGACGUCGUGCCCUCAUACAACCCUCAUGGAAUCUCUUUCUGACCAUUUGAGCAGACACACGCACAUUUGUGGCCUGCUGGAGGUCAUUUUGCAGGGCUCUGGCAGUGCUCCUCCUGUUCCUCCUUCCACAAAGGCGGAGGUAGCGGUCCUGCUGCUGGGUUGUUGCCCUCCUACGUCCUCCUCCACGUCUCCUGAUGUACUGGCCUGUCUCCUGGUAGCGCCUCCAUGCUCUGGACACUACGCUGACAGACACAGCAAACCUUCUUGCCACAGCUCGCAUUGAUGUGCCAUCCUGGAUGAGCUGCACUAUCUGAGCCACUUGUGUGGGUUGUAGACUCCGUCUCAUGCUACCACUAUAGUGAAAGCACCUCAGCAUUCAAAAGUGACCAAACCAUCAGCCAGGAAGCAUAGGAACUGAGGAGUGGUCUGUGGUCACCACCUGCAGAACCACUCCUUUAUUGGGGGUGUCUUGCUAAUUGCCUAUAAAUUCCACCUGUUGUCUAUCCCAUUUGCACAACAGCAUGUGAAAUUGAUUGUCACUCAGUGUUGCUUCCUAAGUGGACAGUUUGAUUUCACAGAAGUGUGAUUGACUUGGAGUUACAUUGUGUUGUUUAAGUGUUCCCUUUAUUUUUUUGAGCAGUGUACAUUUAACAUAUCCAGGCCUCUUCAUUCUGUCACUAUUUUAACUGUUUUAGUUUUAACCUCUCCUCCACUUUGGGUAACUUCCUAGUUCUGGUAUAUUGCUUCACCCAGUACACUAUGGGAUUGUGAUGGUUGUCUAUUUCUCAGGCUGUUUUUUCUUAUACAUACUUUAGGUCCUUCUAAUGGAAGGAUGCGCAGUGGGAACUCAUGCCUAGAUUCAGUACAUCAGGUAUUCAGCAUUCGAGGUAAUCUGGUAAUUUUGAGUUACUCCACUUGUUUGCAAUGUUAUGUUUUGAUAUGCCUUUCUAUCACAAUGCUUACUUGCUCCAAACUUGCGUCUGUUUGUCCUCAACUCAAUUUGUGAGUGUACCCUCGCCUUGACACAUACUUAACAUGUUGUUUAUG